rnacentral:rRNA from 1 species
UGGGGAAUAUUGGGCAAUGGGGGAAACCCUGACCCAGCAACGCCGCGUGAAGGAAGAAGGCUUUCGGGUUGUAAACUUCUUUGACGAGGGACGAAAAAAAUGACGGUACCUCGAAAACAAGCCACGGCUAACUACGUGCCAGCAGCCGCGGUAAUACGUAGGUGGCAAGCGUUGUCCGGAUUUACUGGGUGUAAAGGGCGCGUAGGCGGGAUUACAAGUCAGAUGUGAAAUGCCAGGGCUUAACCCUGGAGCUGCAUUUGAAACUGUAGUUCUUGAGUAUCGGAGAGGCAGGCGGAAUUCCUAGUGUAGCGGUGAAAUGCGUAGAUAUUAGGAGGAACACCAGUGGCGAAGGCGGCCUGCUGGACGACAACUGACGCUGAGGCGCGAAAGCGUGGGGAGCAAACA